AGAGAGCUAGUCCAAUAUAAGACAUUUGAUUUCGACUCAAAAAAUCGUGGUUCAACUCCACGACUUUCUU
rnacentral:tRNA from 1 species